GAUCUUUAGGAAUUUUACUGGGAUAAUUCGAAGUAUCUAUCCAAAUGGAGUUUGUUGCUGCUUCUGAGACAAAGAACUCUUGAUGUCAAGAUUUGAAGAGAGAAGAAAUGAAAUACAGAAUAUGGGUAUCCUUGAAGGUUAAUCAGAGAACCACUCACAUGCCUCAAGGGAAAAACUUAAAAUGGAUAUGAGAAGUGAAGAAAGUGAUCAUAGGAGAAAAUCAUCUCAGAUCAACCACUUCAGAAGAACCAGAUUCCACUUCUGUGGCCAGGACUUUUAUGUUAUGGCUGGUCCGAUUGUUUUACCCUGCGUUCUAUGCUACUAAACCUUGGAUCAUUCCUAAAGUACAAAUUCUGUUCUCGAACCACAAACAAGGCUAAAAGAUCGGAGGAAAUUCAGUGAAUAUGCAGGAUUGGGAUUGUGUAUUUUCAAAAGUAUUGAGCUUUAUAAUGCAAUUGUUUAAAAGUAGAGCCUUUUUUUUCUUAUGUUGCCAGCAUUUUAAGUUACGUGUUUAUUAAGAGGCAUUGCUCAAAUAGCUACAGAGUAUGCAUGGAAAUAUUGGCUGUCUGAAUAGUUUGGAGAUUCAAAGAGAAAUAGCAAGCUUCAGAGGUAUUAAAUUAUGACAUGCAAAAAAGUUUUUGUUUUAUUCUUAACUGCAACAGUGUAUAUUUAAAUUAGAGUUAAAGUGUUAUAUGUCCUGGGCCCACCUUACAAGUUGUGCUGUGUAGAUGUGUAAUGGGAAGCAAAAUUUCAAUUAGGGUCCCAUUAACUGGCAUAUAAUCCUUCUUUAAUGUAACAGAGGUUAUGGUGUUGCUGUACAAAUCUGCUAGAAACAGAUUUUAACCCAUUUUUGGUCUCUUUCUUGGAUCUAAUGGAAUGACUCUUAACUGUACAUUAUCUGCAUUGUUUCAUACAUUCUUCAUUAUUUUAAAGUCUGAAAUUAGUCUCUAAAUGGUUGUCAUGAAUAUUCAGCUCAUCCUAACUUUAUAUACCAUAUAUAUAUUUCUGCGUAUGUAUUUUAAUUAGUAUUUAGAGGAAAAAGUUAACUGAACCCAACUGUAAUUUCGAAACUAGCCUUAUCACUGGAAGAAGAAUUCUACCGCAUCAAACCAGACUUUUCCUAGUCCCUGAGACCCUAACUUGUGAGGUAUUUUAGUAACAUCACAAGUCAGGCUCUUGGGACCUAGGCGG